UACGUACCGUCCAAACGUUAUUCGGAAUUACUGGGCUUAAAGGGUACGUAGGCGGCGCUGUUAGUCGGGUGUGAAAGCCCACGGCUCAACCGUGGAAUUGCGCCCGAUACUGCAGUGCUCGAGGGAGACAGAGGUAAGCGGAACUGAUGGUGGAGCGGUGAAAUGCGUUGAUAUCAUCAGGAACACCGGUGGCGAAAGCGGCUUACUGGGUCUCUUCUGACGCUGAGGUACGAAAGCUAGGGGAGCGAAGGGG
rnacentral:rRNA from 1 species